rnacentral:rRNA from 1 species
UACGUAGGGGGGCAAGCGUUGUCCGGAUUUAUUGGGCGUAAAGCGCGUGUAGGCGGCCAGAAAAGUCCGCUGUGAAAACUCGAGGCUCAACCUCGAGCUGUCGGUGGAAACUUUCUGGCUAGAGUCCGGAAGAGGAGAAUGGAAUUCCUGGUGUAGCGGUGAAAUGCGCAGAUAUCAGGAGGAACACCGGUGGCGAAGGCGGCAUCCUGGACCGGCAUUGACGCUGAGGCGCGAAAGCCAGGGGGAGCAAACGGG